rnacentral:rRNA from 1 species
UACGGGGGGGGCAAGCGUUGUUCGGAAUUACUGGGCGUAAAGGGCUCGUAGGUGGCCAACUAAGUCAGACGUGAAAUCCCUCGGCUUAACCGGGGAACUGCGUCUGAUACUGGAUGGCUUGAGUUUGGGAGAGGGAUGCGGAAUUCCAGGUGUAGCGGUGAAAUGCGUAGAUAUCUGGAGGAACACCGGUGGCGAAGGCGGCGUCCUGGACCAACACUGACGCUCAUGCACGAAAGCGUGGGGAGCAAACAGG